AGAUUGAACGCUGGCGGCAUGCUUUACACAUGCAAGUCGAACGGUAGCAGGCCGCAAGGUGCUGACGAGUGGCGAACGGGUGAGUAAUGCAUCGGAACGUGCCCAGUCGUGGGGGAUAACGCAGCGAAAGCUGUGCUAAUACCGCAUACGAUCUAUGGAUGAAAGCGGGGGACCGAAAGGCCUCGCGCGAUUGGAGCGGCCGAUGUCAGAUUAGCUAGUUGGUGGGGUAAAGGCCCACCAAGGCGACGAUCUGUAGCUGGUCUGAGAGGACGACCAGCCACACUGGAACUGAGA
rnacentral:rRNA from 1 species